UGGGGAAUAUUGGACAAUGGGCGCAAGCCUGAUCCAGCAAUGCCGCGUGAGUGAUGAAGGCCUUAGGGUUGUAAAGCUCUUUCGCACGCGACGAUGAUGACGGUAGCGUGAGAAGAAGCCCCGGCUAACUUCGUGCCAGCAGCCGCGGUAAUACGAAGGGGGCUAGCGUUGUUCGGAAUUACUGGGCGUAAAGGGCGCGUAGGCGGCCUGUUUAGUCAGAAGUGAAAGCCCCGGGCUCAACCUGGGAAUAGCUUUUGAUACUGGCAGGCUUGAGUUCCGGAGAGGAUGGUGGAAUUCCCAGUGUAGAGGUGAAAUUCGUAGAUAUUGGGAAGAACACCGGUGGCGAAGGCGGCCAUCUGGACGGACACUGACGCUGAGGCGCGAAAGCGUGGGGAGCAACAGGAUUAGAUACCCUGGUAGUCCACGCCGUAAACGAUGAAUGCUAGACGUCGAGGUGCAUGCACUUCGGUGUCGCCGCUAACGCAUUAAGCAUUCCGCCUGGGGAGUACGGCCGCAAGGUUAAAACUCAAAUGAAUUGACGGGGUCAUAGCUGUUUCCU
rnacentral:rRNA from 1 species